CUGGUUGUUAUGACUUCUAUGAUAAAUAUAUGUUUUAUGAUUAAUAAAAAAAUUAUCUCCUUUCGUGCCCCCAAUAGGUUUUGCGCCUCAACAGGUUAUAAUUUUUUUAAAAAUUUUAAAAAAGACCUUUAAUAGCGCUUUUCUAAAAAGAGCUAUUAAAAAUAGACCUACAAUAGCGCUUUUCAAUAGGCUGUUGUCAUGGAUAUUGCUAUGAAUUGCAUUUUCAUAUGCUCUUUUAGAAUUGUAGAUAUAUCAAGGAUUUGACAAUUUUCUUGAAAUGGAUCGGUUAUCAAGAAUUAUUUGUAAAUUUUUAGAUUAUUGAUUCAUUGGAUAAUCGAGAUAUGCGUUUAUAUGUUUUGCAGUGAGCCGAAGUCCGAAUAUCGAUUCUUGAUUCAACGGAUAAUAACGGAUUUUUUCAGAUAGAUAAAUCAAAUUUCAUCAAUGAGUUGUUCUUUAUUAUUCCUUAUUUUUUGACUUUGAUGCAAGAUAAACGAAUUGAGCUGUGAACGUGUUUUUCUGCAACGUGGGUUGUCAAAAUAAUAACUUUCUUCAUAGCAUGCAGCCUCGAGAUUUGAUUUGCAAUCUUUUAGUAAAAAAAAAAUUAAUUCGUAUCAAUCUUUUUCUUUUUUGUUGAUUCUUAUAGCUUAUAUUUCUUGGUUUUUUUUAUUUACUCUUUGGUGUUGCAGUAGAGGAUGUGGUUUUGAUUUCAUGAUAUCUUGAUCAGUUUUACUCUUAAUUUGUUGGCAGAAUGCUGGAGUUCUCAUGUGAUUUUUCUGUUUUAGGGUGUUUCCAAUUUAGUAUCGGAUAAUGGUAAUGCUUUGCGAUACUUGAUACAUGGUUAUAACUAAAUGUUGGAUUGUGAAUUGAAAUUGCAUCUGUUUUCUGCCGCGUCGUCUGUUUGAAGCAAUAACUUGCUUUGUAGCAUCAAACAAUGAAGUUCGUUUUGGCACACUCUUCUUGAUUGGGAAUCAUUUUCAUAUAAUUUAUUCUCUGGAGUUUUAUUGUCCCUGUGUUAUCAAAUUAUUACUCCUUUACACAUUAGGUUUUCUUACAUAAGUUGUUGACAAUGUAAUCUUACAGCCAAAUUUCCACGAUUCUUGAGAAACCAGGACAACUUCGUAAAAGCCCUGUUGAUCAGUGACUUGGCCAUAGCAUUCAUCUCCACCGUAACCUUAGAUGCUGUUUCUUAUGAUCAUCUAUUUGUUGGGUAUAACUUAACUUUGUUGGGCGAGGCUUUAGUUAAUCUUGUACUAUUUUGUUAUAUUUAUUGUUAUAUGUGAUUUAUGCUGCUAAAAAGAUAUCUGCUUCAUUUUACUGUAUUAGGAGGAAUCGAAAAUUGGGUCAUAUGAUGGGUACAUGAUGUGAAAAGUGGAUGAAAAUUUGUCCAGUGAAUGAUCAUCUUCUGAAGGCUUUAAUCUGGUCAUAUCUUCUACGAAUCUUUACAUUUCAGCUAGUUUACUCAGUAUCUACUUCUGCAAUUCUUUUAAGUUAUUUUUGUGGGUUUUACAGGGGAGAGGUUCACAUGCUUUCCUUUCAGCCAAUAAAUGUGCGGAACCGGUGGCAGGCAGAGGUUUACAUACUUUUCAUACAGCCUUGGGAUAAAACAGUGUACAAGGUGGUGUUGAAGUUUUUGGGUGCUGAAGUUUGUAAGAAAUAAAUCAUUUCUCUUCCCAAGAUGAAGAAUUUUCGACAACUUGGUUACAUUAUCUUCAUAGUGUACAAGUUAACUUUCUGGAGAGACGACUUCUGGAACAACUCUUGCCCUUCUUUUACUGUUUAGUUUAUAUUUUAUUUUAUUUUUUUUAAUUUAUUAUAUGUGAUUUAUUUUCAAAAAAAAAAUCAUUAUUUGUGAUUUAUGAUGGUUGUGCUGAUACUCCUGUAAAAAUAUCCUCUUCAUUACAAUUUACAGUGCCCUAAGGACUCGUCUGUAUUACAAGGAUGGAAAUUUAUUUCAUUGAACCAUCAUCUUCUACAGACUUUAGUUUGGUCAUCUCUUUUAAGACUCUUUACAUUUCAGUCUUUGUUUUGAUACUCAGCAUCUAUUUUGGUCGGUUCCUUUGAGUUUUCUGUGUGGAUGUUACAGGGAAAAGUUAACCUGCAAAUGUGUGGUUUGCAAUGGAAUUUGUGGCAGGAAGAGGAUAGCGUUGAAGUUGUUGUCUAUCUGUCAGCUUGGUUUGGCACUCCCCAAGGACAAGGAGUUCUGGACAACAAUGUUUGAAACUUUCAUGUGUUGAAUGCAGUAGCUUCAACUCGUUUUAGGCUGGGGGUUGAUAUAUUGGUCUCUAGAUAUGUGUUUGAGGAGGAAGAUUUUAUAAGGCCAUGGGAAAUAUAACGAAGAUAAAUUGAAUUUAAUCACAUGAAGCUAGAGACGAAAUACUCAUUUUUGUUGCUGCAAGUGAAGCUAGCAUAGAUAACCUUGUCAAACAACUAAAUGUGCAGCCAAAACCGUUUCUUAGUGUUGCUCAACUUUGACUACAUGUAUAUAUCAGUUCUGUAUUUCGAUGCCUAUCUAUUGAAAUAGUUAAGUCCCAUAGGCAGUUUAUUUUACAUUAGAGGAAUUAAAGUCAUCGAGGGUGUAUCAGAGGUAUUGCUUCAUAGGUGAAUAGUGUAAUUGUUGGUCCCUCCCUACACUUAGAAACUUCUUGUGCUUCUCAUUUAUUGUAUGUAACUAUUCUUAUCUUUCAUUUGUUUGAACUGUUCAUGCAUUGACUUUGAAUUAUUCUGCUGUCACCUACUACCUUGAAACAAAUUAUUCUUAAAUAGU